GACGAACGCUGGCGGCGUGCCUAAUACAUGCAAGUUGAGCGAUGAAGAUUGGUGCUUGCACCAAUUUGCAGAGCAGCGAACGGGUGAGUAACGCGUGGGGAAUCUGCCUUUGAGCGGGGGACAACAUUUGGAAACGAAUGCUAAUACCGCAUAACAACUUUAAACAUAAGUUUUAAGUUUGAAAGAUGCAAUUGCAUCACUCAAAGAUGAUCCCGCGUUGUAUUAGCUAGUUGGUGAGGUAAAGGCUCACCAAGGCGAUGAUACAUAGCCGACCUGAGAGGGUGAGCGGCCACAGUGGGACUGAGACACGGCCCAAACUCCUACGGGAGGCAGCAGUAGGGAAUCGUCGGCAAUGGACGAAAGUCUGACCGAGCAACGCCGCGUGAGGGAAGAAGGUUGUCGGAUCGUAAAACUCUGUUGGUAGAGAAGAACGUUGGUGAGAGUGGAAAGCUCAUCAAGUGACGGUAACUACCCAGAAAGGGACGGCUAACUACGUG
rnacentral:rRNA from 1 species